UACGGCCAAUUCACGUUGAAACACCGGUUCUUGUACGAUCACCGAAGUUAAGCAACGUCAAGCCUAGUCAGUGCCUAGAUAGGUGACUGCUUGUGAAUACCAGGUGCUGUAA